GGAUGUGAGGGUGAUCUGGCUGUGACACCAUCACCCAUUGAUCACCAGGGCUGAUCUUGGCUGCUCUGGCUGGCUAGGCAAGUGUCCCCUUCCACUCUCCCCACUAUUCCUUGUGCAUCGCUCCCAAGGCUGUGCCCUGGAUCGUAGAGGACAACCUUCCCUGAUAGAGGAAAAUCGUUCUUUGAUCAAGGGUAUACGAGUAGCUGGACACCCCUGCUAGAACCUCCAGACAAGCACUCAGGGUCCAUGUAUAGGAAAACAUAGGGUAGUCAAGCUUCCAAGACACCAGACACAUCCAUAUGAGGUGUUGUGUGUGGCAGUCUGCCUUUCUUU
ensembl:misc_RNA 7SK 7SK RNA